AGUGAACGCUGGCGGUAGGCCUAACACAUGCAAGUCGAACGGCAGCACAGUAAGAGCUUGCUCUUACGGGUGGCGGGUGGCGGACGGGUGAGGAAUACAUCGGAAUCUACUUUUUCGUGGGGGAUAACGUAGGGAAACUUACGCUAAUACCGCAUACGACCUACGGGUGAAAGCAGGGGAUCUUCGGACCUUGCGCGAUUGAAUGAGCCGAUGUCGGAUUAGCUAGUUGGCGGGGUAAAGGCCCACCAAGGCGACGAUCCGUAGCUGGUCUGAGAGGAUGAUCAGCCACACUGGAACUGAGACACGGUCCAGACUCCUACGGGAGGCAGCAGUGGGGAAUAUUGGACAAUGGGCGCAAGCCUGAUCCAGCCAUACCGCGUGGGUGAAGAAGGCCUUCGGGUUGUAAAGCCCUUUUGUUGGGAAAGAAAAGCAGCAGGUUAAUACCCCGCUGUUCUGACGGUACCCAAAGAAUAAGCACCGGCUAACUUCGUGC
rnacentral:rRNA from 1 species